rnacentral:tRNA from 1 species
GGAGGAUAAAGUAAUCUGGUGAUGCUCAUGGGCUUCAAACCCGAUGACUGGGCGGUUGACCGUCUGGUGGGGAGUUCGAUUCUCUCAUCCUCUCGCCA